GGAAGGCCUUUCUCUCCAUGCUCCUUUUGCGGGAACUCCCUGGCACCAAGGCCAGGGGGGAAAGGACAGUCUCUGAUGAGGAUGGGUCUCUAGGCUGCUCUGAGUGCUGUCCCUGCACUGAAGAAGUUAUAGUUCCCUCCCAGGCGGCCCCCCUCCCUGCCCCUCAGCUCAGCCUCAAUCAAGAAGUUCCCCAUCUUUGAUCACCACUCCAAGUAGGAGAAACCGGCCCAGGGCUGCCUUAGAGCCGAGAACAGUGGUGAGUUAAGGGCCAGCAUGGACAGCAACUCUGGGUUACAGUUAAGCUGGUGAGGAGCUCACAGUCCCAGGCAGAAAGCUCCUACUGUCCCUGACUCCUGGCUCCCAGCUGGAGAUCCCCACUGAGGAUGCUGCAGCAGGUUCCGCAGGUCUUACCCUUCAGUGUCCGCAAGAGCAGGGUCGGGGACAUCAGGGGCCGGCAUGGGACAGGGCCGGGCCUCCCAGCACCUGGUAACCCUCUCACUUACGGACAGAGCUGGCCAUGACGGAGGAGGUAUGGAUGGGUACCUGGAGGCCCCAUCGCCCCCGGGGACCCAUCAUGGCCCUCUACAGCAGCCCUGGACCCAAGUACCUGAUUCCACCAACAACAGGCUUCAUGAAGCACACGCCCACCAAGCUGCGUGCACCGGCCUACAGCUUCCGUGGGGCCCCCAUGCUCCUGGCAGAGAACUGCUCCCCAGGGCCCCGUUACAAUGUAAACCCCAAGAUACUGAGGACUGGCAAGGACCUUGGCCCUGCCUACUCCAUCCUGGGGCGCUACCAAACCAAGACCAUGCUGACUCCUGGUCCAGCCCUGAAGUCAGCAUUUCCAUCCUGGACACCCCCUGACCAGACUUGGUCACCACCUGUGUUGGAGCCCAGAGGCCCCACGCCUAGAAUGUUGGGGAGUCCUCCUUGAGCCCCCAAACUGGGCUGCAUACCCACCUGCUUGUCCCAGCAGCCCCCUUGGCUCCUUGUCCAGGUGACUACUUUCCAGAGAAAUCCACCAAGUACGUGUUCGACUCAGCGCCCAGCCACUCCAUCUCUGCCCGGACAAAGGCAUUCCGAGUGGACAGCACCCCAGGUCCGCAGCAGCCCCAACCGUCCUCAGCCAAAUGGACCUGGGGAUCCUGGGUGGGGUGUGUGACAUGGGGCAGCCCGACGGCUGAUCUCCAGAGUUGGGGGAGAGCCCCAGGGAAGGAGCAGUGGGCCCUGUUCCGGCCUGAGGCUCCACGUCCACCCUGCAGGCCCCGCUGCGUACAUGCUGCCCAUGGUAAUGGGGCCCAAUACCAUCGGCAAGGCCUCCCAGCCCUCCUUUUCCAUCAAGGGCCGCAGCAAGCUGGGCGGCUUCAGCGACGACCUACACAAGGCAAGGGUCACCCCAACUGAGAACAGAGAAUCACCCCCAACCAUCUGAACCCUCCCCCGGAACCCAGGACCCACCAGUUCGGCCCUGCCUUGCCAAUGCCCCUCAGCCCCCUCAGCCCUUCACCCUCUGGGCACCUGCCACGUGCUGGGGUUACACUGCAGUGGUGAGGAGGGGCAGGCAACAGGCCAGAAGGGAGAGGCCCUGGCCCCAGCAUGGACCGUGCUGAGGACAAGAGAUGGGGUUUAGGAAGCACUGUCUGGAGAGAGAGAGGCAAUCUUAGAUAGGGUAGCAUGGAAAGAAGAGGAGGAGGCAAGAAUAAACCAUGAGCUAUUUGGGGGAGGAGGGUCCUGGUUUCAGAAACAGCCAGUGCUAAGCCCCUGGGUGGCACAUGCCUGAGAGCUUGAGGGGCCUGAGAUGGGGAAGCAGCAUCAUGGCACCCAACAGCCCUCGUCCAUGUUGAUUUUGCCAGCCCCAGGCCCUCAGGUCCAACAGGGCAGCAACAGCCUCUCUCACACACGCUCAGCGAUGUUCCCAGGACUGGCACACACUGGGGAUGCCAUUGCCAGCGUGAGGCUGAAAUGGAGGAAGUGACCCCCACAUGAGGUACCCCACAAGCAGUGGGGUGUGAUCUCCACAGUGUGACAGAAGACAGAAGGGGACCUUGAUGCACGGGCACCAACUUGUAGCUGACCCUGUUGACUCAGAGCCUGAGUUUGCUCCCUGUCCUCUAGGGCCACACGCCCUGGGUAGGCCGAGUUGGUCUGAGCCUCCUUUACCUCUCAGACCCCAGGUCCCGCAGCCUACCGCCAAACUGAUGUGCGGGUGACCAAGUUCAAGGCUCCGCAGUACACCAUGGCUGCCCGUGUGGAGCCCCCAGGGGACAAGACCCUCAAGCCAGGACCAGGCGCCCACAGCCCUGAGAAGGUCCAGGAAGAGCACAGCUCAGAGGGGUCAGGGUGGGGCGGGGUCCUGGCCCAGAGGGAUGUGUAGGAAAGAGCAGGGAGGGGGGUUGGGACACAGACGAGGGGAAACAGGGUCAGGCUAUGGAAGGACACAGCCAAGAAGGGGUGGAGGGGUGGGGUGGGGAGGGGAGGCACCUGCACCCUGAGGACCCUGUACAUUUCCAGCACUAGCCCCACAGGUAACCCUUCAGGGACAUGGAAGCAGAGACCCUGCCCUUUUCCCUAGACACUGUGACAGCUACUACUGCUGAGUGCUCUGUGUUCAAACCUGGGAGCAUAGCUUCUGGCCACCUUGGCCCCAGGUUCAGGAAGGACAGCAGCCCAGCCCCAGCCAGGGCAGAGACCCGCAGGUGGGGGCAGGGGUGCUGGCUCCUAUCAUAGCCCCUCCUCUCCCAGGUGACCCUGACCAAGCCCUGCGCCCCAGCUGUCACCUUCGGCAUCAAACACUCUGAUUACAUGACUCCCCUGCUGGUUGAUGUGGAAUAACGCCAGCCCUGCUGUGCCCCAUCACACUCGGCAUCUACACAAGAUCCGCCAGGCCACAGAGCUCGAGGCUGUCUUCACCAGCUGGGCUGGGCCAGCCUGGCCCUGCAGGGCAGAGCACGCUUGUUUGGGCAAUGGUAAUCAGUUACUUUUUUUCUAUGCUAUUUUACCAUUUUUUAAUCUUGUUUUCUGCUAUGCCCAAAUUAUUAAUAAAUCAGAUUGCAUUAAUAA
rnacentral:sRNA from 1 species